CAAUAGCGUAUAUUAAAGUUGUUGCAGUUAAAAAGCUCGUAGUUGGAUUUCUGAUCGAGACAUCAGGUCGGGUCCGAGAGGAUCAUGUACUUUGAUUUUGUUUUGAACAUCCUUGGGGAGAGCAUUUCUGGCAUUCAGUUGUCGGGAUUGGGAUCCUCAUCGUUUACUGUGAAAAAAUUAGAGUGUUCAAAGCAGGCCUCGGCCUCUGAAUACAUUAGCAUGGAAUAAUAAGAUAGGACUUUGGUGGUCUAUUUUGUUGGUUUGCACGCCAAAGUAAUGAUUAAUAGGGAUAGUUGGGGGUAUUCGUAUUCAAUUGUCAGAGGUGAAAUUCUUGGAUUUAUGGAAGACGAACUACUGCGAAAGCAUUUACCAAGGAUGUUUUCAUUAA
rnacentral:rRNA from 1 species